UACGUAGGGUGCGAGCGUUGUCCGGAAUUAUUGGGCGUAAAGGGCUCGUAGGCGGUCUGUCGCGUCGGGAGUGAAAACUCAGGGCUUAACCCUGAGCCUGCUUCCGAUACGGGCAGACUAGAGGUAUGCAGGGGAGAACGGAAUUCCUGGUGUAGCGGUGGAAUGCGCAGAUAUCAGGAGGAACACCAAUAGCGAAGGCAGCUCGCUGGGACGGUAUUGACGCUAAGGCGCGAAAGCGUGGGGAGCAAACAGG
rnacentral:rRNA from 1 species